rnacentral:rRNA from 1 species
GUCCACACCGUAAACGAUGGAUACUAGGUGUAGGGAAUAUUAAAAUUCUCUGUGCCGCCGCUAACGCAAUAAGUAUCCCACCUGGGGAGUACGGCCGCAAGGUUGAAACUCAAAGGAAUUGACGGGGGCCCGCACAAGCAGUGGAGUAUGUGGUUUAAUUCGACGCAACGCGAAGAACCUUACCAGGGCUUGACAUAUAAGUGAAUAAUUAAGAGAUUAGUUAGCUCUUCGGAGCACUUAUACAGGUGGUGCAUGGUUGUCGU